UAAAAAAUUUAGAAAAUGCUGAUUAUUCAGAAACAACCAAGCAUUUUGCUAAUAAAAGACGCUUGUUUCAACCAUUUAAUGUACUAUGGCAAUCUACGUCUGUUUAAACGAUGAAAAUUACCACUGUUUUACAAAAUUAAAAGAAAGUCCUUCAAUUUAUACAAAAAAUGAAUUCCAAAAACGGUCAAGUUUACAAAUAUGGUACUGCAGUCAUUUGAAAACUAAGCUUGAAUUUUAUGGAAAAUAGCUAUUUGUUGUAAAAUAUGAGAAUAGUUAUUAUAAUAUUAGAAUAUUGUUAUACUAAUGUACCAAU